GUAACACGUGGGAACUUACCCUUUAGACUGGGACAACCACUGGAAACGGUGGCUAAUACCGGAUACGCCCUGAGGGGGAAAGCAGAAAUGCGCUAAGGGAGAGGCCCGCGGCAGAUUAGGUAGUUGGUGGGGUAAAGGCCUACCAAGCCUGUGAUCUGUAGCUGGUUUGAGAGGAUGAUCAGCCACACUGGGACUGAGACACGGCCCAGACUCCUACGGGAGGCAGCAGUGGGGAAUAUUGGACAAUGGGGGAAACCCUGAUCCAGCAAUGCCGCGUGAAUGAAGAAGGCCUUAGGGUUGUAAAGUUCUUUUGUCCGUGACGAUAAUGACGGUAGCGGACGAAUAAGCCC
rnacentral:rRNA from 1 species